GUGCUCAUUUUGGCAGCACAGACGCUCAAACUGGAACAACGCAGAGAUGAUUGGCAUGGGAGCUGCCAAGGGUGGCACACAUGUCUGUGCAGCGCUCCAUAGUUUU